GUGGGUAUGGCGGAAUUGGCAGACGCCUUGGAUUUAGGUUCCAAUGCCUUGCGGCGUAAGGGUUCGAGUCCCUUUACCCACACCA
rnacentral:tRNA from 1 species